CUACGUGCCAGCAGCCGCGGUAAUACGGAAGGUCCGGGCGUUAUCCGGAUUUAUUGGGUUUAAAGGGAGCGUAGGCCGUGGAUUAAGCGUGUUGUGAAAUGUAGACGCUCAACGUCUGAAUUGCAGCGCGAACUGGUUCACUUGAGUACGCACAACGUAGGCGGAAUUCGUCGUGUAGCGGUGAAAUGCUUAGAUAUGACGAAGAACUCCGAUUGCGAAGGCAGCUGACGGGAGCGCAACUGACGCUUAAGCUCGAAGGUGCGGGUAUCAAACAGGAUUAGAUACCCUGGUAGUCCGCACAGUAAACGAUGGAUGCCCGCUGUUGGUACCUGGUAUCAGCGGCUAAGCGAAAGCAUUAAGCAUCCCACCUGGGGAGUACGCCGGCAACGGUGAAACUCAAAGGAAUUGACGGGGGCCCGCACAAGCGGAGGAACAUGUGGUUUAAUUCGAUGAUACGCGAGGAACCUUACCCGGGCU
rnacentral:rRNA from 1 species